rnacentral:rRNA from 1 species
CCUACGGGGGGCAGCAGUGGGGAAUAUUGGACAAUGGGGGCAACCCUGAUCCAGCCAUGCCGCGUGUGUGAAGAAGGCCCUCGGGUUGUAAAGCACUUUCAGUGAGGAAGAACGCCUGGUGGUUAAUACCCAUCAGGUAAGACAUCACUCACAGAAGAAGCACCGGCUAACUCCGUGCCAGCAGCCGCGGUAAUACGGAGGGUGCGAGCGUUAAUCGGAAUUACUGGGCGUAAAGCGCGCGUAGGUGGCUUGAUAAGCCGGUUGUGAAAGCCCCGGGCUCAACCUGGGAACGGCAUCCGGAACUGUCAAGCUAGAGUGCAGGAGAGGAAGGUAGAAUUCCCGGUGUAGCGGUGAAAUGCGUAGAGAUCGGGAGGAAUACCAGUGGCGAAGGCGGCCUUCUGGACUGACACUGACACUGAGGUGCGAAAGCGUGGGUAGCAAACAGGAUUAGAUACCCUGGUAGUC